UUAAAAAGCUCGUAGUUGAACCUUGGGCCUGGCUGGCCGGUCCGCCUCACCGCGUGUACUGGUCCGGCCGGGCCUUUCCCUCUGUGGAACCCCAUGCCCUUCACUGGGUGUGGCGGGGAAACAGGACUUUUACUUUGAAAAAAUUAGAGUGCUCUAGGCAGGCCUAUGCUCGAAUACAUUAGCAUGGAAUAAUAGAAUAGGACGUGUGGUUCUAUUUUGUUGGUUUCUAGGACCGCCGUAAUGAUUAAUAGGGACAGUCGGGGG
rnacentral:rRNA from 1 species